ensembl:lncRNA
GCGGGAUGUGCCCUAGUGGGUUAAACCGGUAUGGCGGCUUGUUAGACAAAAGGGGAGUGGGGGUCAGCUGAGAAGACACUACUGAGUUGAUAAUUGUAACAAUUGAAAUGCUAAUACUUUGCACAUGAACGUUCACUCAUUUGGGAAUAAUUGCAAUCAAUAUAUAUAUUUACGCUCAGUGUGUCAUCGGGAUCUCUGUUGAAAAGUUUGUUUCUGUUGGAGAGUUUGUCCGCCCUCUCUCUCUCGCUGUCGUGGUUAGAAUGGAUAAUUCAGAGUGACGUUCAUUCAGGUCGUUAUAGAAUAGAUGUUUCUGCGGUUGUCGGUCUUCGCGUUCAAUGAUACCGAAUUCCUAGCUGCAGACUAGUAAUUAAUAUCAAAGACUUGCUCUUAUUCUGUCGGUAUCGAUAGUCUUAGAGUUUAACCACGUGGGAUGGUUAAAAGAUUCAGCAAUCUACUCAAACCCUUAUUUCCCUCUGUGACAGAGGUACUGGUCUGAUCUCAAACCUUGGCCCUCUCGUUAUUGAGGUAAGCUGGUCUGGUGAUAGAAAACCCAGGUGGGGGUUUUAUUCGGAACAUCGAAAGGGGCUGUCUCAUGACGCCCGGUCCUGUCUGUGCCCCUGGGAGUGUUCUCAUGACGCCAGGUCCUGUCUGUGCCCCUGGGGGUGUUCUCAUGACGUCAGGUCCUGUCUGUGCCCCUGGGGGUGUUCUCAUGAUGCCAGGUCCUGUCUGUGCCCCUGGGGGUGUUCUCAUGACACCAGGUCCUGUCUGUGCAACUGGGGGUGUUCUCAUGACGCCAGGUCCUGUCUGUGCCCCUGGGGGUGUUCCCAUGACGCCAGGUCCUGUCUGUGCCCCUGGGGGUGUUCCCAUGAUGACAGGUCCUGUCUGUGCCCCUGGGGGUGUUCUCAUGACGCCAGGUCCUGUCUGUGCCCCUGGGGGUGUUCCCAUGACGCCAGGUCCUGUGUGUGCCCCUGGGGGUGUUCCCAUGACGCCAGGUCCUGUCUGUGCCCCUGGGGGUGUUCCCAUGACGCCAGGUCCUGUCUGUGCAACUGGGGGUGUUCUCAUGACGCCAGGUC